GAUGAACGCUGGCGGCGUGCCUAAUACAUGCAAGUCGAGCGAACAGACGAGGAGCUUGCUCCUCUGACGUUAGCGGCGGACGGGUGAGUAACACGUGGAUAACCUACCUAUAAGACUGGGAUAACUUCGGGAAACCGGAGCUAAUACCGGAUAAUAUAUUGAACCGCAUGGUUCAAUAGUGAAAGACGGUUUUGCUGUCACUUAUAGAUGGAUCCGCGCCGCAUUGCUAGUUGGUAAGGUAACGGCUUACCAAGGCGACGAUGCGUAGCCGACCUGAGAGGGUGAUCGGCCACACUGGAACUGAGACACGGUCCAGACUCCUGCGGGAGGCAGCAGUAGGAAAUCUUCCGCAAUGGGCGAAAGCCUGACGGAGCAACGCCGCGUGAGUGAUGAAGGUCUUCGGAUCGUAAAACUCUGUUAUUAGGGAAGAACAAAUGUGUAAGUAACUAUGCACGUCGUGACUGUACCUAAUCAGAAAGCCGCGGCUAACUACG
rnacentral:rRNA from 1 species